rnacentral:rRNA from 1 species
GAUGAACGCUGGCGGCGUGCCUAAUACAUGCAAGUCGAGCGAACGGACGAGAAGCUUGCUUCUCUGAUGUUAGCGGCGGAAGGGUGAGUAACACGUGGAUAACCUACCUAUAAGACUGGGAUAACUUCGGGAAACCGGAGCUAAUACCGGAUAAUAUUUUGAACCGCAUGGUUCAAAAGUGAAAGACGGUCUUGCUGGCACUUAUAGAUGGAUCCGCGCUGCAUUAGCUAGUUGGUAAGGUAACGGCUUACCAAGGCAACGAUGCAUAGCCGACCUGAGAGGGUGAUCGGCCACACUGGAACUGAGACACGGUCCAGACUCCUACGGGAGGCAGCAGUAGGGAAUCUUCCGCAAUGGGCGAAAGCCUGACGGAGCAACGCCGCGUGAGUGAUGAAGGUCUUCGGAUCGUAAAACUCUGUUAUUAGGGAAGAACAUAUGUGUAAGUAACUGUGCCCAUCUUGACGGUACCUAAUCAGAAAGCCACGGCUAACUACGUG